UUAUGGGGUAGCGCUGGGGGACAGGUGGCCGGGCCAAGUUCCGGGGGUCCUCCAUGAGAGUCGUGGAUGGGCCCCGCUGUCGGCUG
rnacentral:sRNA from 1 species